rnacentral:rRNA from 1 species
CCAUAUCAAGAGGCAGCAGGCGCGCAAUUACCCAAUCCUGACUCAGGGAGGUAGUGACAAGAAAUAACAAUAAACCGGCUUAUGCCGGUUUAAUUGGAAUGAGUACAAUUUAAACAUCUUAACGAGGAACAAUUGGAGGGCAAGUCUGGUGCCAGCAGCCGCGGUAAUUCCAGCUCCAAUAGCGUAUACUAAAGUUGUUGCAGUUAAAAAGCUCGUAGUUGGAUUUCUGUGGGGACGGAGCGGCCGGCCGCAACACGCGGUUCGAGCUAGCGCUUUCCCUACAUCCUGCCGCGAACCGUGCUACCAUUAAUUUGGUGGCGCCGGGGAUCGGCUCGAUUACUUUGAGAAAAAUAGAGUGUUCAAAGCAGGCCACAUGCCUUGAAUAAGUUAGCAUGGAAUAAUAACUAAGGACUUCGGUUCUAUUUUGUUGGUGUUCGGGACUGAAGUAAUGAUUGAUAGGGACAGUUGGGGCGGUCUGUAUUCCAAAGCGAGAGGUGAAAUUCUUAGACCUUCGGAAGACAAACAGCUGCGAAAGCGUUCCGCAAGGAUGUUCCCUUUGAUCAAGAACGAAAGUUGGGGGAUCGAAGACGAUCAGAUACCGUCGUAGUCUCAACUAUAAACUAUACCAGCUAGGGAUCGGCCAACGUUAUUUCAUACCGACUUGGUCGGCACCUUAUGAGAAAUCAAAGCAUCUGGGUUCCGGGGGGAGUAUGGUCGCAAGGCUGAAACUUAAAGGAAUUGACGGAAGGGCACCACCAGCCGUGGAGCCUGUGGCUUAAUUUGACUCAACACGGGAAAACUUACCAGGUCCAGACAUAGUAAGGAUUGACAGAUUGAUAGCUCUUUCUUGAUUCUGUGGGUGGUGGUGCAUGGCCGUUCUUAGUUGGUGGAGUGAUUUGUCUGGUUAAUUCCGUUAACGAACGAGACCCCAGCCUGCUAAAUAGCGCGCGUGAGCUUUGCUCGCGGCGAGCUUCUUAGAGGGACUCUGAUGCGCGAUAGCACAUGGAAGUUUGGGGCAAUAACAGGUCUGUGAUGCCCUUAGAUGUUCUGGGCCGCACACGGGCUACACUGGCGCCUGCAACGAGCAUAUCAGCUGGCCCGAGAGGGUCUUGGCUAAUCUUUUGAACCGGCGCCGUGCUUGGGAUUGACCUUUGCAAUUGUUGGUCAUGCAACGAGGAAUGCCUUGUAAACGCGAGUCAUCAGCUCGCAUUGAAUACGUCCCUGCCCUUUGUACACACCGCCCGUCGCUCCUACCGAUGAAUGUUCCGAUGAAAUUUUCGGAGAGCACCUGUGAACUUGGCUCUGCCUUGCGAACGGGAGGCUCAAAGUCACAUAAAUCUGAACAUUGAAG